UAGCCUCCAGAAAUUUGAGAAAAUACGUCU
rnacentral:piRNA from 1 species